rnacentral:rRNA from 1 species
UAAGGUGACUAUAGCGGCAGGGCUCCACCUCUUCCCAUUCCGAACAGAGAAGUUAAACCUGUCAGCGCCGAUGGUACUGCAAACGCGGGAGAGUAGGUAGUCGCCUACC